UACGAAGGGGGCUAGCGUUGUUCGGAUUUACUGGGCGUAAAGCGUGCGCAGGCGGUUCGGAAAGAAAGAUGUGAAAUCCCAGGGCUUAACCUUGGAACUGCAUUUUUAACUGCCGGGCUAGAGUAUGUCAGAGGGGGGUAGAAUUCCACGUGUAGCAGUGAAAUGCGUAGAGAUGUGGAGGAAUACCGAUGGCGAAGGCAGCCCCCUGGGAUAAUACUGACGCUCAUGCACGAAAGCGUGGGGAGCAAACAGG
rnacentral:rRNA from 1 species